rnacentral:rRNA from 1 species
GCUGCAUGAAGCCGGAAUCGCUAGUAAUCGCGGAUCAGAAUGCCGCGGUGAAUACGUUCCCGGGUCUUGUACACACCGCCCGUCACACCAUGGGAGUCGGAAAUGCCCGAAGCCGGUGACCCAACCCGAAGGGAGGGAGCCGUCGAAGGCAGGUCGGAUGACUGGGGUGAAGUCGUAACAAGGUAUC